rnacentral:rRNA from 2 species
UAUUACGUAGUGCCAGCGUGUCUGAUUAUGGGCGUAAGCGAGCGCAGCGUUUCUAAGUCUGAUGUGAAGCGUCGCUCACGAAGAAGUGCAUCGAAACUGGGAAACUUGAGUGCAGAAGAGGACAGUGGAAACUCCAUGUGUAGCGGUGAAAUGCGUAGAUAUAUGGAAGAACACCAGUGGCGAAGGCGGCUGUCUGGUCUGUAACUGACGCUGAGGCUCGAAAGCAUGGGUAGCAAACAGGAUUAGAUACCUGGUAGUCCAUGCCGUAAACGAUGAGUGCUAGGUGUUGGAGGGUUUCCGCCCUUUCAGUGCCGCAGCUAACGCAUUAAGCACUCCGCCUGGGGAGUACGACCGCAAGGUUGAAACUCAAAGGAAUUGACGGGGGCCCGCACAAGCGGUGGAGCAUGUGGUUUAAUUCGAAGCAACGCGAAGAACCUUACCAGGUCUUGACAUCCUUUGACCACUCUAGAGAUAGAGCUUUCCCUUCGGGGACAAAGUGACAGGUGGUGCAUGGUUGUCGUCAGCUCGUGUCGUGAGAUGUUGGGUUAAGUCCCGCAACGAGCGCAACCCUUAUUACUAGUUGCCAGCAUUUAGUUGGGCACUCUAGUGAGACUGCCGGUGACAAACCGGAGGAAGGUGGGGACGACGUCAAAUCAUCAUGCCCCUUAUGACCUGGGCUACACACGUGCUACAAUGGAUGGUACAACGAGUUGCGAGACCGCGAGGUUUAGCUAAUCUCUUAAAACCAUUC